AGACGGUUCACCUCACAAGACCGGGGUCAACCAUGGCUACCAGCAUGAACAACGGCGCUUCAGACCCACGUAGCGAGGACCCGAUGCCAGGUCCAGUGGACAGACUUCAGACGUCUCUGUGUGUCCGGUCCUGUCUCUGGUUGCCAGGUUACAGACGCUGCUGCACCCGCACGUUUAAAAAUGUCUACACCUGAAACUCCACCACGUCUAAAGAAGCAAAAACGUUUGCAAAUGUACAGACUGGAGUGGGAAGAGUGGAACCCCUGGCAAUGGGUACAAGGCAAACUGUGUUUCCUGUUGCUCAUGGACUGGCUGAAGUAAGGCAGCAUGAGGAGACAAACAUGGAGGAAAUAUGAGAACAGAGAGAACCCAACCAGCAGGUCACAGUUUAUCAUCAUCUAAUCAUCUCCUGAAGUCCAUAUGACCAAAGAACUACAGACUCUUCACAACCUGCUCAAACUCUUGGUACAGGACCUCACCACAUGGGUCAAGAAGGUUUCCGUCUCAUUUCUACUCUGAAGAUCACCUUCUCCUGCUCAAACUGCUGACAAAUGUUUCUGCUGCUCUAAAGUCUGGUCUCCAGAACUUCCUAAAAACUCUCAAAGUCUCUUCUGCUGCAGGCUGCUUUGUAGAACUGUUACAGAAAACCUCACUAAACCACAUGGAGGGGCCUCAAGAUAGUCGUCCAAAUGAAACCGUACAAAAACCAAACUAGCACAACCCAAACACUAAAGUCUCCUGCAGCCUACCAGAGAACCUCUGAGAACAGAGAAUCAGGACAGGAACUCUUACCUUCUGGACAACCACCUUUGGUUCACAAACAAGAAUACAGAAUGUGUCUGACCAAAAACCUCUGAAGACUCACUACAGCCAAGAUAAAGACACAACUCAGCUGCACCAAAUCCACUAAUCACUGCACACAUUAGCACCAUGUGCAAACUGUGGCUAAAGAACCACAUUUACCAAGACAACUAUCCAGUACAAAGCCCUAAAACACACCAAGAAACACAUUAAAGAUGAUUUUACUGCUGGAAGCUGCAAGCCAACACCUAAAUAACAAACUAAAGCAAUGGAGCCAAACCCGGUUCACUGGUGAAGAGAAGCAGAGGAAAUGUUUGUCUGCAGCUAAAUAAAGCAGGAAGACACUGAGCUGCUCAGGUGUUCCUGAUAACAACAAGCAGCCACCUGGACAGCCAAUAGGAACACAGCUUACUAGAAGUCCAGAGGGUUGGGUUAGUGAAGGAAAUUUAGUUUAAAGUUGAGGCAGAAAGUUAACAAAGUUGAAAACCACCUUCUGAUACCUGAAAUCUCUGAGUUUUCACACAAAGAACGCCUGAACAUGUCAAACUGGUUUCAUAGUAGAACCAUCAUUGUAAAAACGUCAUAGUAUGGUGUGUUGCUCAAAAAACAUUACGACCCGGCUGUCUAGGGUCGCUGAGGAGCAACACAAAAACAGGUGGUAUAUUCCACCCAACAUCCUUGAACAUAAACUUAAAAAGUUCAUUCAAAGGAAUAUUCCACCCAAAAUCCUUCAAUGUAGACCAAAAAAAUCUUGGUGUAAAGGAGUAUUCCACCUUAAAUGUAGAGCUAAAGGAUGGUUUGGAGUAAUAUUCUACUCUAAAAUCUUCCAAUGUAGACCUAAAAGGUUUAUCUGAUGGUAUAUUCUACCCAACAUCCUGGAACAUUUACCUAAAAGGUUGGUUUAAUGGUAUAUUCCCAGAAAAACCCUUGAACAUUAGGCUUAAUGGUAUAUUCCACCCAAAAUACUUGUACAUAUACCAAGAAGUCAGUGUAAAGGAAAUGUAGACGUAAAAGGAUUGUUUAAAGGAAUAUUUAAACGAUUACUUUCAUUAUUUAAUAAUCUGUUAUCAGUCAGAACCCUGGCAAACUUAUUUUCAUCAGUUUUUUUUUAGUGGAAGUCACAAAUAAAGGAGCUCUUGGUUUUUCCCGGCAUUAGUGAGUCAAAAGCUGCUUUUUCAACACAGACACGUUCACAUGCAUCCACAAACCUCUCAGCACUCAAACACCCACAGACAGGAGGCCGGCUGGACCGAGGCUCGGCAGCGUCCUCAGACCCACGAGUCGGGGAGUCGGUGAACUUGUUGGUCUGGUCUGAAGGCCUCCGUGUGGUCCAGUAGAAAUCCACGUAGUCGGUGUUGGCUUUGAACUGCAGCGACUGGCCACCAUCAGGUGGACCGGCUCAUCCUCGUAGGGCUCCUCCUGUAGCCUUGAGGGUACCACAGGAACAUUCAGUAGCUGUUGGAGUUCUUCCUGUCAGGCUCGUGGUAGAACGGCUCUGUAGAAUGUUGUACUUGUCUUAUCUGGAACAAUCUAACAGCCUAAACUGUUAACAGCGGUGUAAAGAAGCAAACACAGGCAUUGAUUAGGACUCAAACUAGAUUUAUUUUAGAAAACAAAUCAGCUUAGAGGCAUUUGUUCACACACGUGGCUGAAUAGGAGGCUGUCCAAUCAGAUUUGAGGU